rnacentral:ribozyme from 1 species
CUUAUUUACUAGAAUCCGAAGUAGUAGAAUCCGAAGCCUCUAGAAGGUCACACAGGCUCUCCUACUCAACUUUUAUGCCGUAACGUCUUCGUCGUACAGAGUGGCAACUUAUACCAUCCCAAAUUAAAGCUA